rnacentral:rRNA from 1 species
GAGGCGUGAUGACGAGGCACUACGGUGCUGAAGCAACAAAUGCCCUGCUUCCAGGAAAAGCCUCUAAGCAUCAGGUAACAUCAAAUCGUACCCCAAACCGACACAGGUGGUCAGGUAGAGAAUACCAAGGCGCUUGAGAGAACUCGGGUGAAGGAACUAGGCAAAAUGGUGCCGUAACUUCGGGAGAAGGCACGCUGACACGUAGGUGAAGUGAUUUACUCAUGGAGCUGAAGUCAGUCGAAGAUACCAGCUGGCUGCAACUGUUUAUUAAAAACACAGCACUGUGCAAACACGAAAGUGGACGUAUACGGUGUGACGCCUGCCCGGUGCCGGAAGGUUAAUUGAUGGGGUCAGCGCAAGCGAAGCUCCUGAUCGAAGCCCCGGUAAACGGCGGCCGUAACUAUAACGGUCCUAAGGUAGCGAAAUUCCUUGUCGGGUAAGUUCCGACCUGCACGAAUGGCGUAAUGAUGGCCAGGCUGUCUCCACCCGAGACUCAGUGAAAUUGAACUCGCUGUGAAGAUGCAGUGUACCCGCGGCAAGACGGAAAGACCCCGUGAACCUUUACUAUAGCUUGACACUGAACAUUGAGCCUUGAUGUGUAGGAUAGGUGGGAGGCUUUGAAGUGUGGACGCCAGUCUGCAUGGAGCCGACCUUGAAAUACCACCCUUUAAUGUUUGAUGUUCUAACGUGGACCCGUGAUCCGGGUUGCGGACAGUGUCUGGUGGGUAGUUUGACUGGGGCGGUCUCCUCCUAAAGAGUAACGGAGGAGCACGAAGGUUGGCUAAUCCUGGUCGGACAUCAGGAGGUUAGUGCAAUGGCAUAAGCCAGCUUGACUGCGAGCGUGACGGCGCGAGCAGGUGCGAAAGCAGGUCAUAGUGAUCCGGUGGUUCUGAAUGGAAGGGCCAUCGCUCAACGGAUAAAAGGUACUCCGGGGAUAACAGGCUGAUACCGCCCAAGAGUUCAUAUCGACGGCGGUGUUUGGCACCUCGAUGUCGGCUCAUCACAUCCUGGGGCUGAAGUAGGUCCCAAGGGUAUGGCUGUUCGCCAUUUAAAGUGGUACGCGAGCUGGGUUUAGAACGUCGUGAGACAGUUCGGUCCCUAUCUGCCGUGGGCGCUGGAGAACUGAGGGGGGCUGCUCCUAGUACGAGAGGACCGGAGUGGACGCAUCACUGGUGUUCGGGUUGUCAUGCCAAUGGCACUGCCCGGUAGCUAAAUGCGGAAGAGAUAAGUGCUGAAAGCAUCUAAGCACGAAACUUGCCCCGAGAUGAGUUCUCCCUGAGACUUAAAGUCUCCUGAAGGAACGUUGAAGACGACGACGUUGAUAGGCCGGGUGUGUAAGCGC